rnacentral:rRNA from 1 species
UACAGAGGGUGCGAGCGUUAAUCGGAAUUAAUGGGCGUAAAGCGCACGUAGGUGGCGACGUAAGUCGGGUGUGAAAGCCCCGGGCUCAACCUGGGAAUUGCAAUCGAGACUGCAUUGCUGGAGUACGGAAGAGGAGGGCGGAAUUCCCGGUGUAGCGGUGAAAUGCGUAGAUAUCGGGAGGAACAUCAGUGGCGAAGGCGGCCCUCUGGUCCAGUACUGACACUCAAGUGCGAAAGCGUGGGGAUCAAACAGG